GAUGAAGAACGCAGCGAAAUGCGAUAAGUAAUGUGAAUUGCAGAAUUCAGUGAAUCAUCGAAUCUUUGAACGCACAUUGCGCCCGCUGGUAUUCCGGCGGGCAUGCCUGUUCGAGCGUCAUUUCAACCCUCAAGCCCCCGGGUUUGGUGUUGGGGAUCGGCUCUGCCCUCUGGGCGGUGCCGCCCCCGAAAUACAUUGGCGGUCUCGCUGCAGCCUCCAUUGCGUAGUAGCUAACACCUCGCAACUGGAACGCGGCGCGGCCAUGCCGUAAAACCCCAACUUCUGAAUGUUGACCUCGGAUCAGGUAGGAAUACCCGCUGAACUUAAGCAUAUCAAUAAGCGGAGGA
rnacentral:misc_RNA from 1 species